rnacentral:pre_miRNA from 1 species
UUGGGUGAAAUCAAUGUAGGAUCUACACUUUGGAAAUGGAACCCACAAAAAAUGGUGGGACAUACAUUGAUUUCACUCAA